GGGUUGUGAGGUUAAGCGACUAAGCGUACACGGUGGAUGCCCUGGCAGUCAGAGGCGAUGAAGGACGUGCUAAUCUGCGAUAAGCGUCGGUAAGGUGAUAUGAACCGUUAUAACCGGCGAUUUCCGAAUGGGGAAACCCAGUGUGAUUCGUCACACUAUCAUUAACUGAAUCCAUAGGUUAAUGAGGCGAACCGGGGGAACUGAAACAUCUAAGUACCCCGAGGAAAAGAAAUCAACCGAGAUUCCCCCAGUAGCGGCGAGCGAACGGGGAGCAGCCCAGAGCCUGAAUCAGUGUGUGUGUUAGUGGAAGCGUCUGGAAAGGCGUGCGAUACAGGGUGACAGCCCCGUACACAAAAAUGCACAUGCUGUGAGCUCGAUGAGUAGGGCGGGACACGUGGUAUCCUGUCUGAAUAUGGGGGGACCAUCCUCCAAGGCUAAAUACUCCUGACUGACCGAUAGUGAACCAGUACCGUGAGGGAAAGGCGAAAAGAACCCCGGCGAGGGGAGUGAAAAAGAACCUGAAACCGUGUACGUACAAGCAGUGGGAGCACGCUUAGGCGUGUGACUGCGUACCUUUUGUAUAAUGGGUCAGCGACUUAUAUUCUGUAGCAAGGUUAACCGAAUAGGGGAGCCGAAGGGAAACCGAGUCUUAACUGGGCGUUAAGUUGCAGGGUAUAGACCCGAAACCCGGUGAUCUAGCCAUGGGCAGGUUGAAGGUUGGGUAACACUAACUGGAGGACCGAACCGACUAAUGUUGAAAAAUUAGCGGAUGACUUGUGGCUGGGGGUGAAAGGCCAAUCAAACCGGGAGAUAGCUGGUUCUCCCCGAAAGCUAUUUAGGUAGCGCCUCGUGAAUUCAUCUCCGGGGGUAGAGCACUGUUUCGGCAAGGGGGUCAUCCCGACUUACCAACCCGAUGCAAACUGCGAAUACCGGAGAAUGUUAUCACGGGAGACACACGGCGGGUGCUAACGUCCGUCGUGAAGAGGGAAACAACCCAGACCGCCAGCUAAGGUCCCAAAGUCAUGGUUAAGUGGGAAACGAUGUGGGAAGGCCCAGACAGCCAGGAUGUUGGCUUAGAAGCAGCCAUCAUUUAAAGAAAGCGUAAUAGCUCACUGGUCGAGUCGGCCUGCGCGGAAGAUGUAACGGGGCUAAACCAUGCACCGAAGCUGCGGCAGCGACGCUUAUGCGUUGUUGGGUAGGGGAGCGUUCUGUAAGCCUGCGAAGGUGUGCUGUGAGGCAUGCUGGAGGUAUCAGAAGUGCGAAUGCUGACAUAAGUAACGAUAAAGCGGGUGAAAAGCCCGCUCGCCGGAAGACCAAGGGUUCCUGUCCAACGUUAAUCGGGGCAGGGUGAGUCGACCCCUAAGGCGAGGCCGAAAGGCGUAGUCGAUGGGAAACAGGUUAAUAUUCCUGUACUUGGUGUUACUGCGAAGGGGGGACGGAGAAGGCUAUGUUGGCCGGGCGACGGUUGUCCCGGUUUAAGCGUGUAGGCUGGUUUUCCAGGCAAAUCCGGAAAACUAAGGCUGAGGCGUGAUGACGAGGCACUACGGUGCUGAAGCAACAAAUGCCCUGCUUCCAGGAAAAGCCUCUAAGCAUCAGGUAACAUCAAAUCGUACCCCAAACCGACACAGGUGGUCAGGUAGAGAAUACCAAGGCGCUUGAGAGAACUCGGGUGAAGGAACUAGGCAAAAUGGUGCCGUAACUUCGGGAGAAGGCACGCUGAUAUGUAGGUGAAGUCCCUCGCGGAUGGAGCUGAAAUCAGUCGAAGAUACCAGCUGGCUGCAACUGUUUAUUAAAAACACAGCACUGUGCAAACACGAAAGUGGACGUAUACGGUGUGACGCCUGCCCGGUGCCGGAAGGUUAAUUGAUGGGGUCAGCGCAAGCGAAGCUCUUGAUCGAAGCCCCGGUAAACGGCGGCCGUAACUAUAACGGUCCUAAGGUAGCGAAAUUCCUUGUCGGGUAAGUUCCGACCUGCACGAAUGGCGUAAUGAUGGCCAGGCUGUCUCCACCCGAGACUCAGUGAAAUUGAACUCGCUGUGAAGAUGCAGUGUACCCGCGGCAAGACGGAAAGACCCCGUGAACCUUUACUAUAGCUUGACACUGAACAUUGAGCCUUGAUGUGUAGGAUAGGUGGGAGGCUUUGAAGUGUGGACGCCAGUCUGCAUGGAGCCGACCUUGAAAUACCACCCUUUAAUGUUUGAUGUUCUAACGUUGACCCGUAAUCCGGGUUGCGGACAGUGUCUGGUGGGUAGUUUGACUGGGGCGGUCUCCUCCUAAAGAGUAACGGAGGAGCACGAAGGUUGGCUAAUCCUGGUCGGACAUCAGGAGGUUAGUGCAAUGGCAUAAGCCAGCUUGACUGCGAGCGUGACGGCGCGAGCAGGUGCGAAAGCAGGUCAUAGUGAUCCGGUGGUUCUGAAUGGAAGGGCCAUCGCUCAACGGAUAAAAGGUACUCCGGGGAUAACAGGCUGAUACCGCCCAAGAGUUCAUAUCGACGGCGGUGUUUGGCACCUCGAUGUCGGCUCAUCACAUCCUGGGGCUGAAGUAGGUCCCAAGGGUAUGGCUGUUCGCCAUUUAAAGUGGUACGCGAGCUGGGUUUAGAACGUCGUGAGACAGUUCGGUCCCUAUCUGCCGUGGGCGCUGGAGAACUGAGGGGGGCUGCUCCUAGUACGAGAGGACCGGAGUGGACGCAUCACUGGUGUUCGGGUUGUCAUGCCAAUGGCACUGCCCGGUAGCUAAAUGCGGAAGAGAUAAGUGCUGAAAGCAUCUAAGCACGAAACUUGCCCCGAGAUGAGUUCUCCCUGACUCCUUGAGAGUCCUGAAGGAACGUUGAAGACGACGACGUUGAUAGGCCGGGUGUGUAAGCGCAGCGAUGCGUUGAGCUAACCGGUACUAAUGAACCGUGAGGCUUAACCUUACAACGCCGAAGGUGUUU
rnacentral:rRNA from 1 species